AAUUCACUGCGACGUUGGUGACUGCCAAUAUAGUUUAUUGAUCUAUGCUUUUUGAAUAAGGGAACUAAAAGCUUCUCGUGGCAGUAAACCGAGCUGGUACUCGGAAACUUUAAACUGAGGACAAAGUUACCCACCUGGUUAUCCAGGUCAUAAGCUGAGGUAAAACGGCGUUGCGGUGAACUU
rnacentral:other from 1 species